GUAGGAUUUGCAUGAUUUUUUUAUGUGAUAGUCGGUUAAAAAGUUCAUCAGAGCUCAUGUUUUGUCUGUUAUUAUGUAUAUAUAUGCCGACUCGAAAUAAAAUCAACUUACUUAAUUACUUAACUAGAACAUUUUCAAUAUUAAUGCGAUUGACAUGUAUUAUUAUUGUCGCCUUUAAUUUUUUCGUAUAUCUUGUUUAUCCGUUUUAUCCGGUACGCUUCCGUUAGGUGUCCGUUUUAUGCGGUACUCGUCCGUUGGAUGUACGUUCGACAUCCGUUCUGUCCGUUACGUCUCCGUUUCUCGUCCGUUGCAUAUCCGUUGCAUGUCCGUUAUGCAUUCGUUAGGCGUCCGUUUUAGUUGGUCAGUACAUCAACGGACGCCCAACGGAUAACAAUUUUGUCAACGGACAACUUUUAUUUUCAUCCGUUAGGCGUCCGUUCGUCUUAUCCGGUAAGGUGUGACCGAGGCUUUAACCAUUAGUGGAUCCUCUAAUAAACAAAAAGAUCAGGAUGAAAAUAUCUUCAGAUAGCAGUCUUAAGCAAAGAAUACGCCCUAUACCACUUACACUGCACAAUACACAGUUUAACAAAAAUAGCAAUGUACAUUGUAGUAGGGAAAACAAAAUGGAUGAAUUAUGCUAAUACCUUAACUGUCCUUAAACGAAAAAAAAUAAUGACAGACUGCUACAAACGACAACUAAACCAGGACAAGAGAACGGGCAAAUAUGUAUACGAUAGCAAAACAUAUCUCAAAUAUUGGACAGCACUGCUAUAGCACAACAAUAGAACACACUGAUAAAUCUAUUUGAAAGAGCCUUUUAUAUUCGUCAAAUCAACACUUAAUUUACAAUCAGACACCGAACACAAUUGCAAAAUACA
rnacentral:lncRNA from 1 species